rnacentral:rRNA from 1 species
AUGGCGAUGACACAGAUGAGGAGCUUAGAGAGCACAGGCUCGAAUGAACAGUGUGUGUGGAACAGAUUCUUGUCUGAAUUCUCUUCUUGUGGGAGUAUGAACUUGCUUGCAGUAUCUUGGAGUAUCAACUUGGAGCAUCUGGUUAGAUUAGCAUCUUGCAACACAUUCGAUUACUCCAGUACUGAUAGUUACAGUGGCAUCUUGCAAAAUGGAGUAGUUAGAGUAGCAUCUUCGAUUAACUAA